AUACUUACCUGGACGGGGUCGAUGGGCGAUCAUGAAGGCCCAUGGCCUAGAUCAGUGGCCCACAUUGCACUUGGUGGGUGCGCUGGUCUACCAUCUCCCCAAGUGGGAGAGUGGACGUCAUAAUUUGUGGUAGAGGGGGUACGCGUUCGCGCGGCCCCCGC
rnacentral:snRNA from 2 species